rnacentral:rRNA from 1 species
UUCUGAUUCGAAAGAGCGGUCCGCCGCAAGGCGAGCACUGAUUCUUCGAGUCUUCCUCUCGUAGAUGUUUGGCGCACUUGAUUGGGUGCCAGAUGAAUAUGGGACCUUUACUUUGAAAAAAUUAGAGUGUUCAAAGCAGGCAAUCGCUUGAAUACAUUAGCAUGGAAUAAUAGAAUAGGACUUUGGUUCUAUUUGUUGGUUUCUAGGACCGAGGUAGUGAUUAAUAGGGACAGGUGGGGGCAUUAGUAUUUAAUUGUCAGAGGUGAAAUUCUUGGAUUUAUGAAAGACUAACUACUGCGAAAGCAUUUGCCAAGGAUGUUUUCAUUAAUCAAAGAACGAAAGU